CCAAUUCCUGCCUAGAUUAACACAAAUGUUCACCCUAAAGUCCUACACAUUUACAUUUCUAUUGCUCUAAGCAAAUGUCUGGCUUUCAAUGACAAUAUAUAUGAUAAACCAAAAGAUAAGGAUAAUUUACGGAAAGAUAAAACAAUCAUCAGAACAAGACAAAGGUAUGACAAAGAUGAUGAAGCUAUCUUAAAUAUUUUAAUAUUUUAAAUAAUGUACAACAAUGUUAGACACUCCAGCGGGAAAGGUGGACAUCAUCCAAUGUCAGAGUAAUGAAGAGGAAAGAAUACUUUCAAACCAUUUUGUGAGGCCAGCCUUAGUCUGAACCAAAGCCAAACAAAGAUGAUACAAGAAUAGAAAAUAUAUUCCUGAUGAAUACCACUUUAAAUCCGCAAUAAAACAGUAACAAACCAA